ensembl:snRNA U2 U2 spliceosomal RNA
AUAGCUUCUGGGCUUUUUGGCUAAGAUCAAGUGUAGCAUCUGUUAUCAGUUUAACAUCUGAUGCUGCAGUGUCGUCGUCGUCUGGGGUAAAUACCCGAGGUUCAUCAUCU